UCGGGGCUGGCGAGGGGGCCUAGGACGCAGGCGGGCGGCCAGAGUCUCGUUCUCGCGAGAACGAAAACUUUGGUCAAGAACGUCAUCACCAGAGCUGCUUGAGGGGCCCAUUCUCGCGAGACUGAGAUUUUUAGUCAAGGGGGGACCCCCCUUUUUUCUUCUGAAGGUGGCCAAUGGAGGAAAGCCCCGCCACGUUCCCUUUUGAAGCCAGAAAGGCAGGGUCACUGUGGCCAAACAAACAAAAAAACAAGCCCAACAGCCCGCUUCUCUGCAAUGUGAGAGCCAUAGUUGGAGACCUUUGUGCUGUUCUGUGUCCAGGCUGGUGUGGCCCUUUAAGAGAAAUGGAAUCUUCUCAAGCCCUGGUGCCAUCUUGGAAG